rnacentral:rRNA from 1 species
CUCAAGAUGAGAUAUCCUUCAUGAAGGGUCGUCAUAGACGAUGACGUCGAUAGGCUGCAGGUGUAAAGGUGGCAACAUCAUAGCCGAGCAGUACUAAUUACCCGAAUAAUUGUCUUG